rnacentral:lncRNA from 1 species
UCGCGCGCACUAGGAUCCAAGGAGCUGGCGGCGUCUGCUAAGCUGGAGGAGGAGCCGCGAGUGCUCGGCGCCACCGCCGCCGGCGAGAGCGAGGAGCAGCGCAACAAGUUCCUGGUGCUCCGGCUGUACGAGGCGCUGAACGGGCGCGACCACGCCGGCGUGCAGGCCCUCCUGGCGGCGGACCUCGAGUGGUGGUUCCAUGGCCCGCCCAAGCACCAGCACAUGAUGCGCGUGCUCACCGGCGGCGGAUCAAACAGCAGCAGCAGCUUCCGCUUCGCGCCGCGCUCCGUGGACGCCUUCGGGUCGACCGUCAUCGCCGAGGGCGGCGACCAGGAGCGGGGUGUGUACUGGGUGCACGCCUGGACCGUGGGCGCCGAUGGGGUGAUCACCCAGCUCCGCGAGUACUUCAACACCGACCUCACCGUGACCCGCCUCGCCGCCGCCACCAAGUGCAUCUGGCAGAGCCGACGCCCAGACCGCGCAACCAACUCC